GAAAAGCAAUGAGUGCCUUGCAGCAGUACUCUAAGCUUCAGCCCGCUGAGGUGGUGCCUUUAGAACCAGUGCCAGAAAAAAACUAAGGCAGUUUUUCCUCAGUACCCAUGGUCUGAGGGGAAGUGUAUUUCCUUUAUUUUCUUGGUUAGCCCACACAGUGUUCUCUUGUGCAUAGCUGGUGGCCAAGAGCAAACAAAUGGUCAUGAGCAUGCGAGGACCUGACAAAAAGAGCAAGAAAAGGGGAGCGAGUUGUGUACUGUCUGGUGUGCGUGACUCACUGCUAUGGGUUUAUUCAGAAACAGUGUCAGGAUGUUCAGAAGUGGCUCUGUGGUCAUCACUGAUGUGGUGUCACUCCUCCGUAUCGAAAUGUCAGUCAGUCCUCUGUGUGGGUUGUCUGGCAGUAUAUCCUGAAAUAUCUGAAGGAUACAACUGCCACACUGCGGGUUCCACGUAGAGAUGGGGUGGACCUGUCUUCUAUGCCUCUGUCUCCAUGCUACCACGAUUCUUGACUUCAGAGUUAAUACAGACGCUGAAAGGCAAAGGCGAAUGGAAUCCCUGGAAAACAGGUCUGAGAGUGCGCUCCAGCUAAGAUGAUCCAUGGUGCUGGCCUUUCUGGUCACGCUCUCCAAGGAACCAGUCCUCUUUCUAACAAACACAGCUAGGCCCUGGACUUGUGAGCUGCCCUUCAGGGACUGCAAGAAUUCAAACAGGUCUGGGUAGCUGUAGCUGAAUUACUGGUCAUCUUGUGAGCGUAGCAGAGCUCACAGCACAACCUCGAAUGCUCCACAGCCAACUCAGCUGCCAAGUGAAACUACUGAGGACCAGUCCACGCUAGUUAUACUACUGUGAGCAGCUGUGGAUUGCAAAGCUCCCUGCUCUCCUGAGACUUCUC
rnacentral:lncRNA from 1 species